rnacentral:sRNA from 1 species
GUGCCGGUUAGAUUGGGAUACUCAUCAAAUAAUAAUGAAAACCGGGAUAAGUUCUUCUGCUAAUGGCGGGCCACAGCACCUCCGGGUGUAGCUGUAAAGUCGGUGGAUUACAAAGGUGGAGAACCCCCAAAGCUUGCUAAUAAGGAGUUUUCAUCACAUCAUCGGUACGGUCUUUU